AAAUAAAUUAUUUGUACCGUAGACAGUAGGGGCGACUUGUCGCAUAAUGAUCCUACCGAGGACAUGCAUUCAGAUUCUUUUUAAGAUGACGUUUCAGCCCCUGUGUCUAUAUAGAUCCAGGGGCUUUUCUUUU
rnacentral:sRNA from 1 species